GGGUGAUUAGCUCAGCUGGGAGAGCACCCUCCCUACAAGGAGGUCGGCGUGGCCCGAUCCCGUCAUCACCCACCA
rnacentral:tRNA from 1 species